ACAAAGUUAAAAUAAUAAUAAUAAUAAAUAAGAAAGACAUAAUUUACAGUACGUGCUAAAAUUUAAUUUUAUUAAUUUAUAUUAUCAAAUGUAAUUGAAUUUGUGAAAUACAUUUUUAAAUUAUAUAUACAUGUAUGUGUGUGUGUGUGUGUUGCUGUUUUUCAUUUAAAGAACAAGCACAAGUAACGCCAAAUAUUUAAAUAAUAAUAAUACAAAAAAAAAAAAAAAAAACAUUCACAAGACACCAAAUGCAGAUUUAUUGUAUUUUACAAAAUGCUAGAUUUAUAAUGUAGCUACAUCGAUUCGUUCAAACACUGAUUCAAUCGGGAAUGAAACCAAUGAGGUGCUUUGCGAGUGAAUCACUGAAUCAUUGACUCAACCGAUUCGUUCACAUACACUGAUUCACCCGGGAACCAAACACCAGCGCACUGGCUUUGUUUGGAAUUAUUUUUCUUGGCGGAGCAAAUUUCCAAAAACUAACUGAAACAUUGUGUCAAACAUGUUUGUGGGUCACCACAAUUUCGAUGGUUUAUUCAAAUCAUACCAAGAGGUCAAGGUUUAGCUAGUUCGCCCCUGCUGGGAUGUGCCAUAACUACACCAUUGUGGAGCUUUUCUCUUGACUUUGGAGCCUGACUGUUGCAAGAAGAAACCCCACCAGCCCCAAAGACAUAUUCCCUCAAUUUAACAGCAGACCAAGGUGUUUCUCCAGCAUCAUCGGAUCAAUGAAAAGUAAAUAGCCUCCACUUCUUGUUUCACAGUGCCGUAUUGAUCUUUCCUCAGCUUUGGCUUUCCCUGCUUCCCUGGCGUCUUAUGUCUUUCAGCCCCAGGGACGAUGCUGAUUGCCAAAGA
ensembl:lncRNA